AGUGAACGCUGGCGGUAGGCCUAACACAUGCAAGUCGAACGGCAGCACAGUAAGAGCUUGCUCUUACGGGUGGCGAGUGGCGGACGGGUGAGGAAUACAUCGGAAUCUACUUUUUCGUGGGGGAUAACGUAGGGAAACUUACGCUAAUACCGCAUACGACCUACGGGUGAAAGCAGGGGAUCUUCGGACCUUGCGCGAUUGAAUGAGCCGAUGUCGGAUUAGCUAGUUGGCGGGGUAAAGGCCCACCAAGGCGACGAUCCGUAGCUGGUCUGAGAGGAUGAUCAGCCACACUGGAACUGAGACACGGUCCAGACUCCUACGGGAGGCAGCAGUGGGGAAUAUUGGACAAUGGGCGCAAGCCUGAUCCAGCCAUACCGCGUGGGUAAAGAAGGCCUUCGGGUUGUAAAGCCCUUUUGUUGGGGAAGAAAAGCAGCAGGUUAAUACCCCGCUGUUCUGACGGUACCCAAAGAAUAAGCACCGGCUAACUUCGUG
rnacentral:rRNA from 1 species